rnacentral:rRNA from 1 species
UAGCAUAUCAAUAAGCGGAGGAAAAGAAACCAACCGGGAUUGCCUCAGUAACGGCGAGUGAAGCGGCAAGAGCUCAAAUUUGAAAUCUGGCCCCUUUGGGGUCCGAGUUGUAAUUUGCAGAGGAUGCUUCGGGUGCGGUCCCCGUCUAAGUGCCCUGGAACGGGCCGUCAUAGAGGGUGAGAAUCCCGUCUGGGAUGGGCGGCCCGCGCCCGUGUGAAGCUCCUUCGACGAGUCGAGUUGUUUGGGAAUGCAGCUCUAAGCGGGUGGUAAAUUUCAUCUAAAGCUAAAUACUGGCCGGAGACCGAUAGCGCACAAGUAGAGUGAUCGAAAGAUGAAAAGCACUUUGAAAAGAGAGUUAAACAGCACGUGAAAUUGUUGAAAGGGAAGCGUUGUCCACCAGACUCGCCCGGGGGGGUUCAGCCGGCACGUGUGCCGGUGUACUCCUCUCCGGGCGGGCCAGCAUCGGUUUGGGCGGCUGGUGAAAGGCCCCGGGAAUGUAACACCCUCCGGGGUGCCUUAUAGCCCGGGGUGCCAUACAGCCAGCCUGGACCGAGGCCCGCGCUUCGGCGAGGAUGCUGGCGUAAUGGUGGUCAACGGCCCGUCUUGAAACACGGACCAAGGAGUCUAACAUCUAUGCGAGUGUUCGGGUGUCAAACCCGUCCGCGCAGUGAAAGCGAACGGAGGUGGGAGCCUUUCGGGGCGCACCAUCGACCGAUCCUGAUGUCUUCGGAUGGAUUUGAGUAAGAGCGUAGCUGUUGGGACCCGAAAGAUGGUGAACUAUGCCUGAAUAGGGCGAAGCCAGAGGAAACUCUGGUGGAGGCUCGCAGCGGUUCUGACGUGCAAAUCGAUCGUCAAAUUUGGGUAUAGGGGCGAAAGACUAAUCGAACCAUCUGGUAGCUGGUUCCUGCC